UGGGGGAAUUUUGGACAAUGGGCGAAAGCCUGAUCCAGCAAUGCCGCGUGUGUGAAGAAGGCCUUCGGGUUGUAAAGCACUUUUGUCCGGAAAGAAAUCCUCUGGGUUAAUACCUCGGGGGGAUGACGGUACCGGAAGAAUAAGCACCGGCUAACUACGUGCCAGCAGCCGCGGUAAUACGUAGGGUGCAAGCGUUAAUCGGAAUUACUGGGCGUAAAGCGUGCGCAGGCGGUUUUGUAAGACGGAUGUGAAAUCCCCGGGCUUAACCUGGGAACUGCAUUCGUGACUGCAAGGCUAGAGUAUGGCAGAGGGGGGUAGAAUUCCACGUGUAGCAGUGAAAUGCGUAGAGAUGUGGAGGAAUACCGAUGGCGAAGGCAGCCCCCUGGGCCAAUACUGACGCUCAUGCACGAAAGCGUGGGGAGCAAACAGGAUUAGAUAACCCUGGUAGUCCACGCCCUAAACGAUGUCAACUAGUUGUUGGGGAUUCAUUUCCUUAGUAACGUAGCUAACGCGUGAAGUUGACCGCCU
rnacentral:rRNA from 1 species